rnacentral:tmRNA from 1 species
GGGGCUGACUUGGAUUUCGACAGAUUUCUUGUCGCACAGAUAGCAUGCCAAGCGCUGCUUGUAAAACAGCAACAAAAAUAACUGUAAACAACGCAGAUUACGCUCCAGCUUACGCUAAAGCUGCGUGAGUUAAUCUCCUUUUGGAGCUGGACUGAUUAGAAUUUCUAGCGUUUUAAUCACUCCAUAACCUUAAGCUAGACGCUUUUAAAAGGUGGUUCGCCUUUUAAACUAAGAAAAAGAACUCUUGAAACUACCUCAAGGUUUUAGAAAGUUGGACCAGAGCUAGUUUUAAGGCUAAAAACUAACCAAUUUUCUAAGCAUUGUAGAAGUUUGUGUUUAGGACAAGAUUUUUGGACUGGGGUUCGAUUCCCCACAGCUCCACCA